rnacentral:rRNA from 1 species
UACGUAGGUGGCAAGCGUUGUCCGGAUUUACUGGGCGUAAAGAGCGCGCAGGCGGUCGUUCAAGUCGCGUGUGAAAGCCCCCGGCUCAACUGGGGAGGGUCACGCGAUACUGAUCGACUCGAAGGCAGGAGAGGGUAGUGGAAUUCCCGGUGUAGUGGUGAAAUGCGUAGAUAUCUGGAGGAACACCGGUGGCGAAGGCGGCGUCCUGGACCAAUACUGACACUGAGUGAGCGAAAGCCAGGGGAGCAAACGGG